GAUGUAUGCUUUGGUUAUAUACACUUACCUUUCCUGUAGACAGCUGAUGUCUGGUCCUCACAGGCAGCCUGGAGAAGAAGGUGCCAUCACCCCUCUGUGCCAUCCAGGGACAGCAGUGGAGGGGUUAUGGCGGGGUCAGAGAACA